UACGUAGGGUGCAAGCGUUGUCCGGAAUUAUUGGGCGUAAAGAGCUCGCAGGCGGCUUGUCGCGUCUGCUGUGAAAACUCGGGGCUUAACCCCGGGCCUGCAGUGGGUACGGGCAGACUAGAGUGCGGUAGGGGAGACUGGAAUUCCUGGUGUAGCGGUGAAAUGCGCAGAUAUCAGGAGGAACACCGGUGGCGAAGGCGGGUCUCUGGGCCGUAACUGACGCUGAGGAGCGAAAGCGUGGGGAGCGAACAGG
rnacentral:rRNA from 1 species